GCCCAGACUCCUACGGGAGGCAGCAGUGGGGAAUAUUGCACAAUGGGGGAAACCCUGAUGCAGCGACGCCGCGUGAGCGAAGAAGUAUCUCGGUAUGUAAAGCUCUAUCAGCAGGGAAGAAAAUGACGGUACCUGACUAAGAAGCCCCGGCUAACUACGUGCCAGCAGCCGCGGUAAUACGUAGGGGGCAAGCGUUAUCCGGAUUUACUGGGUGUAAAGGGAGCGUAGGUGGCAGGGCAAGUCAGAUGUGAAAACCCGGGGCUCAACCCCGGGAGUGCAUUUGAAACUGUCCAGCUGGAGUGCAGGAGAGGUAAGCGGAAUUCCUAGUGUAGCGGUGAAAUGCGUAGAUAUUAGGAGGAACACCGGUGGCGAAGGCGGCUUACUGGACUGUAACUGACGUUGAGGCUCGAAAGCGUGGGGAGCAAACAGGAUUAGAUACCCCAGUAACA
rnacentral:rRNA from 1 species